rnacentral:rRNA from 1 species
ACACCAGCGCCACGAGUGGCAACCGCAUUUAUUGGGCCUAAAGCGUCCGUAGCCGGUUUGAUAAAUCUUUUGUGAAAUCAUGGGGCUUAACUCCAUGUCGUGCAGGAGACACUAUCAGACUUGGAACCGGGAGGAGUCUGAGGUAUUCUGGGGGGAGCGGUAAAAUGUUAUAAUCCCCGGAGGACCACCUGUGGCGAAGGCGUCAGACUAGAACGGAUUCGACGGUGAGGGACGAAAGCUGGGGGAGCAAACCGGAUUAGAAACCCGGGUAGUCC